AGGAAGGUGGGGAUGACGUCAAGUCAGCAUGGCCUUUAUACCCUGGGCUACACACACGCUACAAUGGAUGGUACAAUGGGUUGCCACCGGGCACCGGAGCUAAUCCCAAACCAUCCUCAGUUCGGAUCGCAGGCUGAAACCCGCCUGCGUGAAGUCGGAGUUGCUAGUAAACGCGUGUCAGCAUAGCGCGUUGAAUACGUUCUCCGGGCCUU
rnacentral:rRNA from 1 species